rnacentral:misc_RNA from 1 species
GAGAAAGUCUCAAACACACGAGGUCAACUACAGAUACAACAAGAACUCACUCAACCAUGCCUAACAUCCCACACCAACCAACUCACCAGCUUCCAACAGAUUAAAAUCCUGCAAGGGGUAGGGAGCUCAGUCUAUCAGAUAUAGGGGCGCUGAUCCUUCUCCUCCUGAGCCGCUCAGCUAUUAUGAAGGCUAGUUCCAGAGACUGUGAGGCAUUCAGCCUUGGGUCGCAGUGGGUAUGAUAGCGAGAACCGAGGUCAUCAAAGGUCACAGUUCGCGAUCCACCAAUGCAUUCGGUUACAUUCUGCCCGGUCAUCUCCAAGUGUACUCCACCAGGGUGGCUCCCUUCCUGCUCGUGCACAUCAAAGAAGGCUCGAACCUCUGCCCGGAUUGCAUCGAAAGGACGGGUCUUGAGCCCACAAGGGGCUUUGAUAGUAUUCCCGUGCAUGGGAUCACUGACCCAGGUGACAAUCUGUCCAGCCCCUCGAACAGCCCUAAUCAAAUGAGGCAGCUUAACACGCAUGUUCUCUGCCCCCAUUCUUGUGAUCACCGUAAUCCUCCCAGCUUUGUUCUUGGGGUUAAGGAUCUCGAUCAGUUUCACUAGUUCCUUGGGGUCCAUCUUGUCACUUGCCUUGAUGCCGAGGGGAUUAGCGACACCACGAAGAAACUCAACAUGGGCACCAUCGAGUUGGCGAGUGCGUUCACCAACCCAAAGCAUGUGGGAAGAGCAGUCAUAGUAGAGACCAGAAGUGGAGUCCUCACGGGUGAGAGCUUGCUCAUAUGGGAGGAGCAGACACUCAUGGGAAGUCCAGAACUCGGUGGUUGUCAUGAUAGGGUGAUCAAUUGUUAGCCCAGCAGCUCCCAUGAAUCCUAGGGCUUCAUCCACCCGAUGAGCCAGCUCCCGGUACCUAUCGCCCUGCUCACUAUGCUCGGUGAAGUCAAGAUUCCACUGCGUAACCCGCUGCAUCGCAGCAUACCCACCGGUAGCAAAGGCCCGGAGCAAGUUGAGGGUAGCAGCAGCCUGACAGUAAGCCCGGAUCAUCCUCUGAGGAUCCGGCGUCCUCGACUUCUCAUCAAAGGCAUCGCCAUUGAUGUUAUCCCCCCGGUAGCUCGGGAGCUUAACCCCGUUCUUCUCCUCAAAGUUGUCCGACCUCGGCUUCGCAAACUGCCCCGCCAUUCUCCCCACCUUGAUAACCGGCAUCUGGCCACCGAACAUGAGGACGACGCCCAUCUGGAGCAGGAUCCUGAAGGUGUCCCGAAUGUUGUUGGCGUUGAACUCCUUGAAGCUCUCGGCGCAGUCGCCGCCCUGGAGGAGAAAGGCCUUGCCGACGGCAGCGUCGGCGAGGCGCUCCUCAAGGUGCCUCGCCUCGCCGGCGAAGACGAUCGGAGGGAAGCUCUCGAUCGUGCGGAGGACGGAUUCGAGAUCGGCUUUGUCGGGGUAUUCGGGGAGCUGGAGGGCGGUCUUCGACCUCCAGCUGUCGACGGACCACUUCCCGGCCUUCGGCGGGGGCGCGGAGGUCUUAGUAGCGGGGGUUUUCGCCGGCUCCGCCGCGUGGACGGCCGAGAUCGGGCGGGGGGAGGGACGGGGAGCGAGGGAGAGGUGG